rnacentral:rRNA from 1 species
AGUGAACGCUGGCGGCAGGCCUAACACAUGCAAGUCGAACGGUAACAGGAAGAAGGUUGCUUCUUUGCUGACGCGUGGCGGACGGGGGAGUAAUGUCUAGGAAACUGCCUGAUGGAGGGGGAGAACUACUGGAAACGGUAGCGAAUACCGCAUAACGUCGCAAGACCAAAGAGGGGGGCCUUCGCGCCUCUUGCCAGCGGAUGUGCCCAGAUGGGAUUAGCUAGUGGGUGGGGUAACGGCGCACCUAGGCGACGAUCCCUAGCUGGUCUGAGAGGAUGACCAGCCACACUGGAACUGAGACACGGUCCAGACUCCUACGGGAGGCAGCAGUGGGGAAUAUUGCACAAUGGGCGCAAGCCUGAUGCAGCCAUGCCGCGUGUAUGAAGAAGGCCUUCGGGUUGUAAAGUCCUUUCAGCGGGGAGGAAGGGAAUAAAGUUAAUACCUUGGCGUAUUGACGUUACCCGCAGAAGAAGCACCGGCUAACUCCGUG